rnacentral:snRNA from 1 species
AAACCCACCAAGCAAUUUUUGGCUAAGAUCAAGUGUAGUAUCCGUUUCUUAUCGGUUUAAUAUCUGGUAUGUGAGACACUGUCUCACAAUGAUAUUAAAUUUACGGUAGCUUGCUACUAGGGAUUUCGAGCAUCACCCUUGUGUUGCACUAUUGCUUGGGCCUGGCGCACCCCAA